CACACCGCCCGUCACACCAUGGGAGUCAGUUGCUCUAGAAGUCGGUGCGCCAACCUAGUGAGGUACGCCGCCUAAAGAGUGACUGGUAACUGGGGUG
rnacentral:rRNA from 1 species